rnacentral:lncRNA from 1 species
GGAGAUGGACAUGGACAGGGGCUGAAACUGCAGUACCAGCAGAUGGGGAGCUUAAGAAGGAAGCUAGUUCAUGGCACAGCACCCGUAAAGUCCCCAGAAUUGGAGGCACCAGAUUCUUCUGAAAGAAAAGGAGCAAUUCAGCACUUGUCAUGCAGAUAAGAGGUCAACACCCCAGGACGGAGUGAAAACCUAAGAUGGACUCAACGACUCUCUUACCGUCCAGCUCUCAAGUCCCUUCUCUUGUGAAAAUGGAAAAGUUGAACUACAGUUGAGAUAUUAUUCCCAGGUGUUCUUUGGAACACAGGGGAUUUCUCCAAAAGGCACAGAACAAAUUGCCUCCAAACAGCCAAGAUUCCAGCAGAAGCUGGAGUAGCAGACUACUUGGAUCUUCAAAGUACCUGGCCCUGAGUCAAUGAGGAAAUGGAAGAUGAGAGGCAGAGUAGGUUGCCUAAGGUGAUAAGAGGAUGAAAUAACGGCGCGAGAAGUCGAACCCACUCCAGAUCCGCCCAUGCAAGACACAAGAAGCCACAGGAGGAGGAAGGGGCAGGCGGGAACUUAGAGCACCUUGGCGUGCCCAGCCCGG